UAGAGUUUGAUCCUGGCUCAGGAUGAACGCUAGCGGCGUGCCUAAUGCAUGCAAGUCGAACGGGAUUUACUGACUUCGGUUGGUAAUGAGAGUGGCGAACGGGUGAGUAACACGUAGGUGACCUGCCCUCGGGAGGGGGACAACCAGUGGAAACGCUGGCUAAUACCCCGGAUGUCAAUCUGGUUAGAGAGGAUUGACUAAAGCUCCGGUGCCCGAGGAGGGGCCUGCGACCCAUCAGCUAGUUGGUAGGGUAAAAGCCUACCAAGGCAAAGACGGGUAGGGGGCGUGAGAGCGUGGCCCCCCAUACUGGUACUGACACACGGACCAGAUACCUACGGGUAGCAGCAGCAAGGAAUAUUGCGCAAUGGGCGAAAGCCUGACGCAGCAACGCCGCGUGGAGGAUGAAGGCCUUCGGGUUGUAAACUCCUUUUCUGGGGGAAGAGAGCGGACGGUACCCCAGGAAUAAGGCCCGGCUAACUACGUGCCAGCAGCCGCGGUAAAACGUAGGGGCCGAGCGUUAUCCGGAAUUACUGGGCGUAAAGGGCGCGUAGGCGGUUUUGUAAGUUGGACGUGAAAGCUCCUGGCUCAACUGGGAGAGGUCGUUCAAAACUGCAAGACUAGAGGAUGGUAGAGGCGAGUGGAAUUCCCGGUGUAGUGGUGAAAUGCGUAGAUUUCGGGAGGAACACCAGUGGCGAAGGCGGCUCGCUGGGCCAUAACUGACGCUGAGGCGCGAAAGCCAGGGGAGAGAACGGGAUUAGAAACCCCCGNUAUUCCUGCCCGUAAACGAUGUCAAACUAAGUGUAGAGAAUCGUAAAGAUAAGCUUGUGCUGAANCAAACGCGAUAAGUUGACCGCCUGGGGAGUACGCCGCAAGGCUAAAACUCAAAGGAAUUGACGGGGGCCCGCACAAGCAGCGGAGCGUGUGGUUUAAUUCGAGGCUACGCGAAGAACCUUACCAGGGUUUGACAUGCACGUGGUAGGUAUUGGAAACAAUGCUGACCCUUCGGGGAGCGUGCACAGGUGCUGCAUGGCUGUCGUCAGCUCGUGCCGUGAGGUGUUAGGUUAAGUCCUGUAACGAGCGCAACCCUCGUCGUUAGUUACAAGUGUCUAACGAGACUGCCGGUGAUAAGCCGGAGGAAGGUGGGGAUGACGUCAAGUCAGCAUGGCCUAUAUAUCCUGGGCUACACACACGCUACAAUGGCCGGUACAAUGGGCAGCGAAAUCGCGAGAUGGAGCCAAUCCUGCAAAGCCGGUCUCAGUUCGGAUUGCAGGCUGCAACUCGCCUGCAUGAAGUCGGAGUUGCUAGUAAACGCGCGUCAGCCACAGUGCGUUGAAUACGUUCCCGGGCCUUGUACACACCGCCCGUCACGUCAUGGAAGUUGGCAACGCCUGAAGUCGGUAGGCUAACCCUAACGGGAGGCAGCCGCCUAAGGCGGGGUCGGUAACUGGGACGAAGUCGUAACAAGGUAGCUGUAGCGGAAGCUGCGGCUGGAUCACCUCCUUA
rnacentral:rRNA from 1 species